rnacentral:rRNA from 1 species
UACGUAGGUGACAAGCGUUGUCCGGAUUUACUGGGCGUAAAGAGCGCGCAGGCGGUCGAUCAAGUCGAGUGUGAAAGCCCCCGGCUCACUGGGGAGGGUCAUUCGAUACUGAUCGACUCGAAGGCAGGAGAGGGUAGUGGAAUUCCGGGUGAGUGGUGGAAUGCGUAGAGAUCCGGAGGAACACCAGCGGCGAAGGCGGCAUCCUGGACUGGUACUGACGCUCAGGAGCGAAAGCGUGGGGAGCGAGUCCGG